CGGGGUGUAGCGCAGCACGGUAGCGCACUUGCAUGGGGUGCAAGGGGUCGCGAGUUCGAAUCCCGCCACCCCGACCA
rnacentral:tRNA from 1 species